rnacentral:rRNA from 1 species
CCCUUAGAUGUUCUGGGCCGCACGCGCGCUACACUGAUGCAUUCAACGAGUCUAAAACCUGCUCUGAUAGGGGUGGGUAAUCUUUUGAAUGUGCAUCGUGAUUGGGAUAGAUGAUUGCAAUUUUUCAUCUUCAACGAGGAAUGCCUAGUAAACGCAAGUCAUCAGCUUGCAUUGAUUACGUCCCUGCCCUUUGUACACACCACCCGUCGCUCCUACCGAUUGAAUGAUCCGAUGAAUAUCAUGGAUUGAGGAUGCAAGCAGGUUCGCCUGUCUUCAUCUUCGAGAAGUGAAGUAAAUCUUAUCAUUUAGAGGAAGGAGAAGUCGUAACA